AAUCGAUUGGGUGAUGAGGCUCACCCUCAACUGCCAUUACGGCUGAUAGCCUCUACAGGGAA
rnacentral:ncRNA from 17 species